CCUACGGGAGGCAGCAGUGAGGAAUAUUGGUCAAUGGACGAGAGUCUGAACCAGCCAAGUAGCGUGAAGGAUGACUGCCCUAUGGGUUGUAAACUUCUUUUAUAUGGGAAUAGAACGUUCCACGUGUGGGAUUUUGUAUGUACCAUAUGAAUAAGGAUCGGCUAACUCCGUGCCAGCAGCCGCGGUAAUACGGAGGAUCCGAGCGUUAUCCGGAUUUAUUGGGUUUAAAGGGAGCGUAGGUGGAUUGUUAAGUCAGUUGUGAAAGUUUGCGGCUCAACCGUAAAAUUGCAGUUGAAACUGGCAGUCUUGAGUACAGUAGAGGUGGGCGGAAUUCGUGGUGUAGCGGUGAAAUGCUUAGAUAUCACGAAGAACUCCGAUUGCGAAGGCAGUUCACUGGACUGCAACUGACACUGAGGCUCGAAAGUGUGGGUAUCAAACAGGAUUAGAUACCCUUGUAGUC
rnacentral:rRNA from 1 species